rnacentral:ncRNA from 12 species
UCGUAGCUCAGUGGUAGAGCUCUCGCCUAGUUAGCGAGAGGUCAUGGGUUUGAUUCCCACUGCC